CAGCAGCCGCGGGAAUACGAAGGGUGCAAGCGUUACUCGGAAUUACUGGGCGUAAAGCGUGCGUAGGUGGUGGUUUAAGUCCGUUGUGGAAGCCCUGGGCUCAACCUGGGAAUCGCAGUGGAUACUGGGUCACUAGAGUGUGGUAGAGGAUAGUGGAAUUUCCGGUGUAGCAGUGAAAUGCGUAGAGAUCGGAAGGAACAUCUGUGGCGAAGGCGACUAUCUGGGCCAACACUGACACUGAGGCACGAAAGCGUGGGGAGCAAACAGGAUUAGAUACCCCAGUAGUCCCUGUCUCUUAUAC
rnacentral:rRNA from 1 species